rnacentral:rRNA from 1 species
UACGUAGGGUGCAAGCGUUGUCCGGAAUUAUUGGGCGUAAAGAGCUCGUAGGCGGUUUGUCGCGUCUGCUGUGAAAACCCGAGGCUCAACCUCGGGCCGCAGUGGGUACGGGCAGACUAGAGUGGCGGUAGGGGAGAUUGGAAUUCCUGGUGUAGCGGUGGAAUGCGCAGAUAUCAAGGAAGAACACCCGUGGCGAAGGCGGCUCUCUGGGACGGUACUGACGCUGAGACGCGAAAGCGUGGGGAGCGAACAGG